UACGGAGGUGGCAAGCGUUGUCCGGAAUCAUUGGGCGUAAAGCGCGCGUAGGCGGCCCCGUAAGUCCGCUGUGAAAGUCAAAGGCUCAACCUUUGAAAGCCGGUGGAUACUGUGGGGCUAGAGUACGGAAGAGGCGAGUGGAAUUCCUGGUGUAGCGGUGGAAUGCGCAGAUAUCAGGAGGAACACCAAUAGCGAAGGCAGCUCGCUGGGACGUUACUGACGCUGAGGCGCGAAAGCGUGGGGAGCGAACAGG
rnacentral:rRNA from 1 species